AUGAUGAACGCUAGCUACAGGCUUAACACAUGCAAGUCGAGGGGUAGCAUCAUCAAAGCUUGCUUUGAUGGAUGGCGACCGGCGCACGGGUGAGUAACACGUAUCCAACCUGCCGACAACACUGGGAUAGCCUUUCGAAAGAAAGAUUAAUACCGGAUGGCAUAGUUUUCCCGCAUGGGAUAAUUAUUAAAGAAUUUCGGUUGUCGAUGGGGAUGCGUUCCAUUAGGCAGUUGGCGGGGUAACGGCCCACCAAACCAACGAUGGAUAGGGGUUCUGAGAGGAAGGUCCCCCACAUUGGAACUGAGACACGGUCCAAACUCCUACGGGAGGCAGCAGUGAGGAAUAUUGGUCAAUGGACGAGAGUCUGAACCAGCCAAGUAGCGUGAAGGAUGACUGCCCUAUGGGUUGUAAACUUCUUUUAUACGGGAAUAAAGUGAGGCACGUGUGCCUUUUUGUAUGUACCGUAUGAAUAAGGAUCGGCUAACUCCGUGCCAGCAGCCGCGGUAAUACGGAGGAUCCGAGCGUUAUCCGGAUUUAUUGGGUUUAAAGGGAGCGUAGGCGGACGCUUAAGUCAGUUGUGAAAGUUUGCGGCUCAACCGUAAAAUUGCAGUUGAUACUGGGUGUCUUGAGUACAGUAGAGGCAGGCGGAAUUCGUGGUGUAGCGGUGAAAUGCUUAGAUAUCACGAAGAACUCCGAUUGCGAAGGCAGCCUGCUGGACUGUAACUGACGCUGAUGCUCGAAAGUGUGGGUAUCAAACAGGAUUAGAUACCCUGGUAGUCCACACAGUAAACGAUGAAUACUCGCUGUUUGCGAUAUACAGUAAGCGGCCAAGCGAAAGCGUUAAGUAUUCCACCUGGGGAGUACGCCGGCAACGGUGAAACUCAAAGGAAUUGACGGGGGCCCGCACAAGCGGAGGAACAUGUGGUUUAAUUCGAUGAUACGCGAGGAACCUUACCCGGGCUUGAAUUGCAACUGAAUGAUGUGGAGACAUGUCAGCCGCAAGGCAGUUGUGAAGGUGCUGCAUGGUUGUCGUCAGCUCGUGCCGUGAGGUGUCGGCUUAAGUGCCAUAACGAGCGCAACCCUUAUCGAUAGUUACCAUCAGGUUAUGCUAGGGACUCUGUCGAGACUGCCGUCGUAAGAUGUGAGGAAGGUGGGGAUGACGUCAAAUCAGCACGGCCCUUACGUCCGGGGCUACACACGUGUUACAAUGGGGGGUACAGAAGGCAGCUACACGGUGACGUGAUGCUAAUCCCUAAAGCCUCUCUCAGUUCGGAUUGGAGUCUGCAACCCGACUCCAUGAAGCUGGAUUCGCUAGUAAUCGCGCAUCAGCCACGGCGCGGUGAAUACGUUCCCGGGCCUUGUACACACCGCCCGUCAAGCCAUGGGAGCCGGGGGUACCUGAAGUGCGUAACCGCGAGGAGCGCCCUAGGGUAAAACUG
rnacentral:rRNA from 1 species